rnacentral:rRNA from 1 species
AAAACAUCUUUUCUUGGUAAUUUAUUUGAGAUCUGACCUGCCCAAUGAUUUAUUUAAUGGCCGCGGUAUUCUGACCGUGCAAAGGUAGCAUAAUCAUUAGUUUAUUAAUUGUGGACUUGUAUGAAUGGUUGGACGAGAUAUUGACUGUCUCAUAUUUAUUAGUUGAAUUUAAUUUUUUAGUUAAAAAGCUUAAAUUUUAUUGUGGGACGAGAAGACCCUAUAGAUCUUUAUUUUUAUUUAUUAUUUGUUUUUUAGUUUAUUUUUUAAAGUUUUUAUUAAAUUUUUUGUUGGGGUGACAUUGAGAUAUAAUUAACUCUUUAUUUUUAAUACAAUUAUUUUUGAUUUUUUGACCUUUUAUUAUUGUUUAAAGAUAUAGAUACCUUAGGGAUAACAGCGUAAUUUUUUUUGAGAGUUCUUAUCGACAAUAAAGAUUGCGACCUCGAUGUUGGAUUAAGAAUAUUUUUAGGUGUAGGUGCUUUUAGAUUAGGUCUGUUCGACCUUUAAAUUCUUACA